UACGUAGGGAGCGAGCGUUGUCCGGAUUUACUGGGUGUAAAGGGUGCGUAGGCGGGAUUGCAAGUCAGGCGUGAAAUACCGAAGCUUAACUUCGGGGCUGCGUUUGAAACUGCGAUUCUUGAGUGAAGUAGAGGCAGGCGGAAUUCCUAGUGUAGCGGUGAAAUGCGUAGAUAUUAGGAGGAACACCAGUGGCGAAGGCGGCCUGCUGGGCUUUAACUGACGCUGAUGCACGAAAGCAUGGGUAGCAAAC
rnacentral:rRNA from 1 species